AGCUCCAAUAGCGUAUAUUAAAGUUGCUGCAGUUAAAAAGCUCGUAGUUGCAUUUCCGAGGCAAGGGAUUAGUCCGACCUUUGGUGGGUAUUUAAUCCUCUUGCCUCGUCCUUGAGUGGUGCUUCUUGGUAUUAAGUUAUCGAGGAGAUAGCCGCUCAUCGUUUACUGUGAGAAAAUUAGAGUGUUCAAAGCAGGCUUAUGCCGUUGAAUAUAUUAGCAUGGAAUAAUAAGAUAGGACCUCGGUACUAUUUUGUUGGUUUGAGAACCAAGGUAAUGAUGAAUAGGGACAGUUGGGGGUAUUCGUAUUCAGUUGUCAGAGGUGAAAUUCUUAGAUUUACGGAAGACGAACUACUGCGAAAGCAUUUACCAAGGAUGUUUUCAUUA
rnacentral:rRNA from 1 species